rnacentral:rRNA from 1 species
GGAUGAGCCCGCGGCCUAUCAGAUUGUUGGUGAGGUAAUGGCUCACCAAGGCGACGACGGGUAGCCGGCCUGAGAGGGCGACCGGCCACACUGGGACUGAGACACGGCCCAGACUCCUACGGGAGGCAGCAGUGGGGAAUAUUGCACAAUGGGCGAAAGCCUGAUGCAGCGACGCCGCGUGAGGGAUGACGGCCUUCGGGUUGUAAACCUCUUUCAGCAGGGAAGAAGCGAAAGUGACGGUACCUGCAGAAGAAGCGCCGGCUAACUACGUGCCAGCAGCCGCGGUAAUA